CUUGCCUGCAACCGAGCGUCCCCUUCCCCCACUGUCGGGUUUCUCCGCGGCUACUGCAGAGGAUUCAGAUCCGAGUAGCUGAAGAGAAGGAGGAGGAGGCUCCGGUCCCUGCGCGCCAUCCACCACCCUACUGGACACGGACGAGGGAACGAGAGCGUCGCCGCUGUAGCCUUCAGAGAAGACAAGGGCAUCGCCGCUUCUGCUGCCGCCGCCGCGGUUUUCGUCUGCAGCAGCUCGCCGGAUCCUCAGUCUUCCACAAUGAACCCCGUUUACAGCCCCGUGCAACCUGGGGCUCCUUACGGCAACCCCAAGAACAUGGCCUACACUGGUUACCCCACAGCCUACCCGGCAGCUGCUCCUGCCUACAAUCCCAGCCUGUACCCGACCAGCAGCCCCAGUUAUGCUCCAGCCACUCUGCUGAUGAAACAAGCCUGGCCACAGAACUCCUCUUCCUGUGGCACUGAAGGCACCUUCCACCUCCCAGUGGACACCGGGACGGAGAACCGAACUUACCAAGCAUCCUCUGCGGCUUUCAGUAAAUACAGCCUGUCUCCUCCUG
rnacentral:lncRNA from 1 species